rnacentral:rRNA from 1 species
GCUCGAGUGGCGAACGGGUGAGUAACACGUGAGUAACCUGCCCUUGACUUGGGAUAACUUCAGGAAACUGGGGCUAAUACCGGAUAGGAGCUCCUGCUGCAUGGUGGGGGUUGGAAAGUUUCGGCGGUUGGGGAUGGACUCGCGGCUUAUCAGCUUGUUGGUGGGGUAGUGGCUUACCAAGGCUUUGACGGGUAGCCGGCCUGAGAGGGUGACCGGCCACAUUGGGACUGAGAUACGGCCCAG